UGGUGGAGUGAUUUGUCUGGUUAAUUCCGAUAACGAACGAGACCUUAUCCUGCUAAAUAGCCAGGCCGGCUUUUGCUGGUCGCCGGCUUCUUAGAGGGACUGCGGAGCGUCUAGCCCGCGGAAGUUUGAGGCAAUAACA
rnacentral:rRNA from 1 species